GGAACACCGAUGGCGAAGGCAGGUCUCUGGGCCAAUACUGACACUGAGGAGCGAAAGCGUGGGGAGCGAACAGGAUUAGAUACCCUGGUAGUCCACGCCGUAAACGGUGGGCGCUAGUUGUGCGAACCUUCCACGGUUUGUGCGACGCAGCUAACGCAUUAAGCGCCCCGCCUGGGGAGUACGAUCGCAAGAUUAAAACUCAAAGGAAUUGACGGGGCCCCGCACAAGCAGCGGAGCAUGCGGCUUAAUUCGACGCAACGCGAAGAACCUUACCAAGGCUUGACAUAUACAGGAAUAUGGCAGAGAUGUCAUAGCCGCAAGGUCUGUAUACAGGUGGUGCAUGGUUGUCGUCAGCUCGUGUCGUGAGAUGUUGGGUUAAGUCCCGCAACGAGCGCAACCCUCGUUCUGUGUUGCCAGCAUUUAGUUGGGGACUCACAGGAGACUGCCGGGGUUAACUCGGAGGAAGGUGGGGAUGACGUCAAAUCAUCAUGCCCCUUAUGUCUUGGGCUGCACGCAUGCUACAAUGGCUGGUACAAACGGCUGCGAUACCGCAAGGUGGAGCGAAUCCGAUAAAGCCAGUCUCAGUUCGGAUUGGGGUCUGCAACUCGACCCCAUGAAGUCGGAGUUGCUAGUAAUCGUAGAUCAGCAACGCUACGGUGAAUACGUUCCCGGGGCUUGUACACACCGCCCGUCACAUCACGAAAGUCGGUAGCACCCAAAGUCAGUGGCCCAACCGCAAGGAGGGAGCUGCC
rnacentral:rRNA from 1 species